AACGAACGCUGGCGGCAGGCUUAACACAUGCAAGUCGAACGCACCGCAAGGUGAGUGGCAGACGGGUGAGUAACACGUGGGGAUCUGCCCAAUGGUACGGAAUAGCUCCGGGAAACUGGAAUUAAUACCGUAUGUGCCCUUCGGGGGAAAGAUUUAUCGCCAUUGGAUGAACCCGCGUCGGAUUAGCUAGUUGGUAGGGUAAAGGCUCACCAAGGCGACGAUCCGUAGCUGGUCUGAGAGGAUGAUCAGCCACACUGGGACUGAGACACGGCCCAGACUCCUACGGGAGGAAGCAGUGGGGAAUAUUGGACAAUGGGCGCGAGCCUGAUCCAGCCAUGCCGCGUGAGUGAUGAAGGCCUUAGGGUUGUAAAGCUCUUUCGCCGACGAAGAUAAUGACGGUAGUCGGAGAAGAAGCCCCGGCUAACUUCGUGCCAGCCGCCGCAGUAA
rnacentral:rRNA from 1 species